CAACAACAGAGAGGGGCGACACCCACACCUCCAAAACCCUAACAUCAACAAAAACUCUAAAUUGAAGGCUCAAAUCACGUUGUAAGCAGAAUCUGAACAUAGAAUUGUGAUCUCCUCGUCAAGAAGGUCAUAAGGCAAGGAAUCCGGGACGUCAAGUGGACACGCCGGAGGUGAUACCCGCGGAAAAGGUGCGCUUUGAAGGUAUGGAUGAAUCUCUCCCGGAUGAUGAUCAAGCAUUUUGUCAAGAACCGAACACGAAAUUUGAAGCUUCCGCACCGAAUAUGAUCUUGUCUAAACUUUAAACAUGUCAUAUAAAUGUUGUUAAUGAUGUUUUGAAUCCUUUAAACUAGUUAUUAGUUGACUAGUAAGGGUUGUCUUUAAAUGAAUUAUGCACCAUCUAGAACAUGUUUGGAAAAAUUUGUUAGUAUGU